AUUGAACGCUGGCGGCAUGCCUUACACAUGCAAGUCGAACGGUAACAGGUCUUCGGAUGCUGACGAGUGGCGAACGGGUGAGUAAUGCAUCGGAACGUGCCCAGUUGUGGGGGAUAACUACUCGAAAGAGCAGCUAAUACCGCAUACGACCUGAGGGUGAAAGCGGGGGAUCGCAAGACCUCGCGCAAUUGGAGCGGCCGAUGUCAGAUUAGGUAGUUGGUGGGGUAAAGGCCUACCAAGCCGACGAUCUGUAGUUGGUCUGAGAGGACGACCAGCCACACUGGGACUGAUACAAGGCCCAGACUCCUACGGGAGGCAGCAGUGUGGAAUUUUGGACAAUGGGCGCAAGCCUGAUCCAGCAAUGCCGCGUGCGGGAAGAAGGCCUUCGGGUUGUAAACUGCUUUUGUCAGGGAAGAAAUCCUCUGGGUUAAUACCCCGGGGGGAUGACGGUACCUGAAGAAUAAGCACCGGCUAACUACGUGCCAGCAGCCGCCGUAAGAC
rnacentral:rRNA from 1 species